rnacentral:rRNA from 1 species
GGGUUGUGAGGUUAAGCGACUAAGCGUACACGGUGGAUGCCCUGGCAGUCAGAGGCGAUGAAGGGCGUGCUAAUCUGCGAUAAGCGCCGGUAAGGUGAUAUGAACCGUUAUAACCGGCGAUACCCGAAUGGGGAAACCCAGUGUGAUUCGUCACACUAUCAUUACGUGAAUACAUAGCGUAAUGAAGCGAACCGGGGGAACUGAAACAUCUAAGUACCCCGAGGAAAAGAAAUCAACCGAGAUUCCCCCAGUAGCGGCGAGCGAACGGGGAGGAGCCCAGAGCCUGAAUCAGCAUGUGUGUUAGUGGAAGCGUCUGGAAAGGCGCGCGAUACAGGGUGACAGCCCCGUACACAAAAGCGCAUGUGUUGUGAGCUCGAUGAGUAGGGCGGGACACGUGGUAUCCUGUCUGAAUAUGGGGGGACCAUCCUCCAAGGCUAAAUACUCCUGACUGACCGAUAGUGAACCAGUACCGUGAGGGAAAGGCGAAAAGAACCCCGGCGAGGGGAGUGAAAAAGAACCUGAAACCGUGUACGUACAAGCAGUGGGAGCACCCUUUGGGGUGUGACUGCGUACCUUUUGUAUAAUGGGUCAGCGACUUAUAUUCUGUAGCAAGGUUAACCGAAUAGGGGAGCCGGAGGGAAACCGAG